AUGCCCGCUCUGUCCACAGGCUCAGGGAGCGACGCAGGUCUGUAUGAGCUGUUGGUGGCUCUGCCAGCCCAGAUGCAGCCACACAUGAACAGCCAGAAAGACCCGACCUUCCUCUGGGAUGUGUUCGGUGAAAAAAGCCUGCAUUCACUAGUUAAGAUUCAUGAGAAACUUCACUACUAGGAGAAACAGAACCCCAUGCCCAUCCUCCAGGGCGCGGCAGCCUUGGCCGAUGACCUGGUGGAGGAGCUUCAGAACAAGCCAAUAAACAGUGAGAUCUGAGAGGGGCUGAGAAACUACUGUCAAAACCCAAGGUGAAGGCUUUGCUGUCUGUGCAUGACACUGUGGCUCAAAAGAAUUAUGAUCCUGUGUUGCCUCCUAUGCCCGAUGACAUUGAUGAUGAGGAAGACUCGGUGAAAAUCAUCUGCCUGGUCAAAAAUAGAGAACCACUGGGAGCCACUAUUAAAAAGGAUGGACAGACUGGGGCCAUCGUGGUGGCCAGGAUCAUGAGAGGAUGAGCUGCAGACAGAAGUGGUAUUAUUCAAGUUGGCGAUGAAUUUAGGGAAGUGAAUGGGAUACCUAUCGAGGGUAAUGAUCCAGGAAAUAAUCUCGAUCUUGGCUCAGUCUCAGGGUGCAAUAACAUUUAAGAUUAUACACAGCAUCAAAGAAGAGGCACCAUCGAAGGAAGGCAAGAUGUUUAUCAAAGCUGUCUUUGACUACGACCCUAAUAAGGAUAAAGCAAUUCCAUGUAAGGAAGCUGGGCUUUCUUUCAAAAAGGGAGAUCUUCUUCAGAUUAUGAGCCAAGAUGAUGCAACAUGGUGGCAAGCAAAGCAUGAAGGAGAUGCCAACCCCAGAGCAGGACUGAAUCCCUCUAAACCUUUCCAGGAAAGGAGACUGGCUCUGAGACGACCAGAAAUAUUAGUCCAGCCCCUGAAAGUUUCCAGUAGGAAAUCAUCUGGUUUUAGAAGAACUUUUCAUCUUAGUAGGAAGGAUAAGAAAACAAGUAAGUCCAUGUAUGAGUGCAAGAAGAGUGACCAGUAUGACACAGCCAAUGUGCCCAUGUAUGAGGAAGUAACACCCUAUCACCAGUAGACGAACGAGAAAUACAGACUUGGUUGGUCUUGGUUGGUCCUGUUGGAGUAGAUUUGAAUGAAGUGAAACGAAAGCUGCUGAUCAGUGAUACACAGCAAUACGGUGUGACAGUGCCCUAUGCCACCAGACCAAGAAGAAGCCAGGAGAAUGAUGGUGUUGAAUAUAUUUUCAUUUCCAAGCAUUUGUUUGAGAGGAAAUAAGUUUAUUGAAUAUGGUGAAUAUAAAAACAACUAUUACACCACAAGUAUAGACUCAGUUUGGUCUGUCCUGGCUAAAAACAAAGUUUGUUGGAUGUUCAGCCUCAUACAAUGAAGCACUUAAGGAUACUAGAAUAUAAGCCAUAUGUGAUAUUUAUAAGGCCUCUGUCGAUAGGGCAUUUGAGGGAGACAAGAAAAAAUGCAAAGAUUAUGUCAAGCAGAGACGACCAAGGUGCUGCGAAGCCCUUUAUGGAAGACAGCUUUCAAGAAAUGAUUAAAUCUGCCCAGAUAAUGGAGAGUCAGUAUGGUCAUCUUUUUGACAAAACUAUAAUAAAUGAUGAUCUUGCUGUGGCCUUCAAUGAGCUGAAAAGAACUUUUGACAAAUUGGAGACAGAUACGCAUUGGGUUCCAGUGAGCUGGUUACAUUCGUAA